UUUAGAUCGAAAAAGACAGAAAGAGACAAGUAAAUGAAAAUAUUUGUUUUCUUUGAACAAAUUAGAAACGAAACAAAUUGGUUUUAGAAUCGUGUAUUUAACUGUGUAUGUAAUAAUGUACAAUGAUUAGGAUACUUCACAAACUUUUGAAGAAAGAUUACACACGUACGACUCUUUAGAACUCGAGGUCUCUCAAACGCGUGGACCCUCUCCACCAGAUUUGUUUUACGUGUAUGGUGUUUUGCAUGUUGGAUGAUCAAUUGUUUUUGUAAAGUUCAAGGGUUAUAUAAUUCUUCUUUAACUCUAA
rnacentral:lncRNA from 1 species